AUUCCAGCUCCAAUAGCGUAUAUUAAAGUUGUUGCAGUUAAAAAGCUCGUAGUUGAAUUUGUGGAGGUUUCCAUGGUCCAAAAUGUUUUGGUACUCUUGGGAACAGCCAUCCUUGGGGGGAACCUGUGAGGCAUUAGGUUGUUUUGCGGGGGAUGCCCAUCAUUUACUGUGAAAAAAUUAGAGUGUUCAAAGCAGGCUUAUGCCAUUGAAUAGAUUAGCAUGGAAUAAUGAGAUAGGACUUUGGUACUAUUUUGUUGGUUUGUGCACCAGAGUAAUGAUUAAUAGGGACAGUUGGGGGUAUUCGUAUUCCAUUGUCAGAGGUGAAAUUCUUGGAUUUCUGGAAGACGAACUACUGCGAAAGCAUUUACCAAGGAUGUUUUC
rnacentral:rRNA from 1 species